rnacentral:rRNA from 1 species
UACGAAGGGGGCUAGCGUUGUUCGGAAUCACUGGGCGUAAAGCGUGCGUAGACGGUAGCGUAAGUCAGAUGUGAAAGCCCCGGGCUCAACCUGGGAAUUGCAUUUGAGACUGCUCUGCUUGGGUGCGGAAGAGGGAAGCGGAAUUUCCGGUGUAGCGGUGAAAUGCGUAGAUAUCGGAAGGAACACCAGUGGCGAAAGCGGCUUCCUGGUCCGACACCGACGUUCAGGCACGAAAGCGUGGGGAGCAAACAGG